rnacentral:rRNA from 1 species
GGGCUCACACAAGCGGUGGAGGAUGUGGCUUAAUUCGAGGCUACGCGAAGAACCUUACCUAGACUUAACAUGCUUAGGAACUCCUGUGAAAGCAGGAGGUGCCCCUUCGGGGAGCCUUUGCAUAGGUGCUGCAUGGCUGUCGUCAGCUCGUGUCGUGAGAUGUCGGGUUAAGUCCCUUAACGAGCGAAACCCUUAUCUCUAGUUGCCAGCGGGUAGUGCCGGGGACUCUAGAGAGACUGCCGGUGUUAAACCGGAGGAAGGUGGGGAUGACGUCAAGUCCUCAUGGCCUUUAUGUCUAGGGCUGCACACGUCCUACAAUGGCUAGGACAGACGGCUGCAAACCAGCGAUGGG